AGUGAACGCUGGCGGUAGGCCUAACACAUGCAAGUCGAACGGCAGCACAGUAAGAGCUUGCUCUUACGGGUGGCGAGUGGCGGACGGGUGAGGAAUACAUCGGAAUCUACUCUUUCGUGGGGGAUAACGUAGGGAAACUUACGCUAAUACCGCAUACGACCUACGGGUGAAAGCAGGGGAUCUUCGGACCUUGCGCGAUUGAAUGAGCCGAUGUCGGAUUAGCUAGUUGGGGGGGUAAAGGCCCACCAAGGCGACGAUCCGUAGCUGGUCUGAGAGGAUGAUCAGCCACACUGGAACUGAGACACGGUCCAGACUCCUACGGGAGGCAGCAGUGGGGAAUAUUGGACAAUGGGCGCAAGCCUGAUCCAGCCAUACCGCGUGGGUGAAGAAGGCCUUCGGGUUGUAAAGCCCUUUUGUUGGGAAAGAAAAGCAGCAGGUUAAUACCCCGCUGUUCUGACGGUACCCAAAGAAUAAGCACCGGCUAACUUCGUG
rnacentral:rRNA from 1 species